GUAGGGUAACGGGAAGUUACAAAGUCUGAUCGUAGUAAAAGCUGGUGGAAUACAGUGGCAUAGAGGGUGAAACUCCCGUAUACGAAACGAGCAGACCUUCCUAAGAGCGUCCUGAGUACCGUGGGGCACGUGGAACCCCGCGGGAAGCUGGGAGGACCAUCUUCCAAGGCUAAGUAUUACCUGACGACCGAUAGUGAACUAGUACCGUGAGGGAAAGGUGAAAAGCUUCCCCGAGAGGGAAGUGAAAUAGUACCUGAAACCGUGUGCCUACGAUCAGUGGGAGCCGCAAGGUGACCGCGUACCUUUUGCAUAAUGAGUCAGCGAGUUGUCCGUCGUGGCAAGGUUAAGCCGUUAGGUGUAGCCGCAGGGAAACCGAGUCUGAACAGGGCGUUCAGUCGCGGCGGACAGACCCGAACCCAGGUGAGCUACCCAUGGCCACGGGUGAAACGUUGGUAAAACUUCGUGGAGGCCCGAACCCACCGACGUUCGAAAAGUCGGGGGAUGAGCUGUGGUAGGAGUGAAGGCUAACCAAACCUGGAAAUAG
rnacentral:rRNA from 1 species